ACGCUCGACACCUACGGGGGCAGCAGUGGGGAAUAUUGGGCAAUGGGCGCAAGCCUGACCCAGCAACGCCGCGUGAAGGAAGAAGGCCCUCGGGUUGUAAACUUCUUUUGUCAGGGACGAAGCAAGUGACGGUACCUGACGAAUAAGCCACGGCUAACUACGUGCCAGCAGCCGCGGUAAUCUGAGGCGGGCUGGCAAGGC
rnacentral:rRNA from 1 species